rnacentral:rRNA from 1 species
UGCAUGCAAGUCGAACGGUCAAGAUUUAUCUUGAUAGUGGCGGACGGGUGAGUAACGCGUAAGCAACCUACCUUUAGUGGGGGACAACCCCGGGAAACUGGGGCUAAUACCGCAUGUGGUGCUACGGCAUAAGUCGUAUCACUAAAGCCUUCGGGCGCUAAUUGAGGGGCUUGCGUUCGAUUAGCUUGUUGGUGGGGUAACGGCCUACCAAGGCGACGAUCGAUAGCUGGUCUGAGAGGAUGAUCAGCCACACGGGGACUGAGACAGGCCCCGACUCC